UACGAAGGUCCCAAGCGUUGUUCGGAAUCACUGGGCGUAAAGGGAGCGUAGGCGGCGUGGUAAGUCAGAUGUGAAAUCCCGGGGCUCAACCCCGGAACUGCAUCCGAUACUGCCGUGCUUGAGGGUUGGAGAGGUAGCUGGAAUUAUCGGUGUAGCAGUGAAAUGCGUAGAGAUCGGGAGGAACACUCGUGGCGAAGGCGGCCACCUGGACCAGUACUGACGCUGAGGCACGAAAGCGUGGGGAGCAAACAGG
rnacentral:rRNA from 1 species